rnacentral:rRNA from 1 species
CAAUAAGCGGAGGAAAAGAAACCAACAGGGAUUGCCCCAGUAACGGCGAGUGAAGUGGCAACAGCUCAAAUUUGAAAUCUGGCCCCCCCGCGGGGGCCCGAGUUGUACUUUGGAGAGGAUGCUUUGGGCGCGGCGCCGGCCGAGUUCCCUGGAACGGGACGCCAGAGAGGGUGAGAGCCCCGUACGGCCGGACGCCCAGCCCGUGGCAAAGCUCCUUCGGCGAGUCGAGUAGUUUGGGAGUGCUGCUCAAAACGGGAGGUAAAUUUCUUCUAAAGCUAAAUACCGGCCAGAGACCGAUAGCGCACAAGUAGAGUGAUCGAAAGAUGAAAAGCACUUUGAAAAGAGGGUUAAACAACACGUGAAAUUGUUGAAAGGGAAGCGCCUGGGGCCAGACGUGCGCCCCGCGGACCACCCGGCGCCCCGCGCGCCGGGGCACGCCGCGGGCGCGCAGGCCAGCAUCGGCUCCCCGCCAGGGGGACAAGGGCCGCGGGAACAUAGCUCCUCCGGGAGCGUUAUAGCCCGCGGCGCCAUGCCCCUGGGGGGGGCGAGG